rnacentral:rRNA from 1 species
CCCUUAGAUGUUCUGGGCCGCACGCGCGCUACACUGAUGCAUUCAACGAGCCUAUCCUUGACCGACAGGUCCGGGUAAUCUUUGAAUCUGCAUCGUGACGGGGAUAGAUUAUUGCAAUUAUUAAUCUUCAACGAGGAAUGCCUAGUAGGCGCAAGUCAUCAGCUUGCGUCGAUUACGUCCCUGCCCUUUGUACACACCGCCCGUCGCUCCUACCGAUUGGGUGUGCUGGUGAAAUGUUCGGAUCGGCCGUUUGUCGCGGUUUCCGCGUCAUGUGGCUGAGAAGUUCAUUAAACCCUCCCACCUAGAGGAAGGAAAAGUCGUAACA